rnacentral:rRNA from 1 species
UCAAGCCCGGCUUGUGUGUUGGGCCCCGUCCUCCGAUCUCCGGGGGACGGGCCCGAAAGGCAGCGGCGGCACCGCGUCCGGU